CGCGACCCCAGGUCAGGCGGGGCUACCCGCUGAGUUUAAGCAUAUCAAUAAGCGGAGGAAAAGA
rnacentral:rRNA from 1 species